rnacentral:sRNA from 1 species
AGGAGGCCAAGUCUCCUGACUGGUCCAAGGGCUAGGAGGUCAACCUUGAGCAACCUGCCAAGAGGAUUUUACCGACAUGGGAAUGAAAAUUCAAUCAACCAGCAUUGAUUCUACCUAAUGUUAGGUUAUGCCACUGGAUCUCUUAUUCAUAGUGGAAAAAUUGAGUUCGUAUCAUUGAGGCAAGGAGGAUAGGGGUUGAAGUUUAAGAGAUGUGUGAGAUAGAUUUCAAGCUUAUUCAGUUGAAGAUGGAGACAACAAUGGAAUUCAGGAUGCCGAGGAGAAGAAGCCUGGCAUUAUUACAUCUUUAUUUUUAAACAAUAUAAGGAUCUUGAACCCGAAGAAGACAACAAAUGACAGGUAGCUAUGUACUGGUGAACUAUAAGCAUCUGUAUUUCAUUACAAAAUCAGGUGAAAUACAGGUGUUUUUAUAUGCAAAAAAGUCAGGUACAGAGUGGUGCUGAAAGUUUUCCUCAUUAUGCUCCUAUGCCCAGUUGGUCGGGUGUAUAUGACAUGCAAUGAGCACAG